rnacentral:rRNA from 1 species
GGACGAACGCUGGCGGCGUGCUUAACACAUGCAAGUCGAACGGAAAGGCCCUGCUUUUGUGGGGUGCUCGAGUGGCGAACGGGUGAGUAACACGUGAGUAACCUGCCCUUGACUUUGGGAUAACUUCAGGAAACUGGGGCUAAUACCGGAUAGGAGCUCCUGCUGCAUGGUGGGGGUUGGAAAGUUUCGGCGGUUGGGGAUGGACUCGCGGCUUAUCAGCUUGUUGGUGGGGUAGUGGCUUACCAAGGCUUUGACGGGUAGCCGGCCUGAGAGGGUGACCGGCCACAUUGGGACUGAGAUACGGCCCAGACUCCGACGGGAGGCAGCAGUGGGGAAUAUUGCACAAUGGGCGGAAGCCUGAUGCAGCAACGCCGCGUGCGGGAUGACGGCCUUCGGGUUGUAAACCGCUUUCGCCUGUGACGAAGCGUGAGUGACGGUAAUGGGUAAAGAAGCACCGGCUAACUACGUG